GCCUCCAUGGCUCAGUUGGCAGAGCGCAUGCUUAGUAAGCAUGAGGUCCCGAGUUCGAACCUCGGUGGAGGCA